UUAAUUGAAACCAAACAGCGGUAUAUCAUUGUUAAUGAUACAAAUGAAAUCCUUCCAAUUAAA
rnacentral:tRNA from 1 species